rnacentral:rRNA from 1 species
GGUGAACGCUGGCGGCAGGCCUAACACAUGCAAGUCGAACGGCAGCACAGGAGAGCUUGCUCUCCGGGUGGCGAGUGGCGGACGGGUGAGGAAUGCGUCGGAAUCUGCCUAUUUGUGGGGGAUAACGUAGGGAAACUUACGCUAAUACCGCAUACGACCUACGGGUGAAAGCCGGGGACCUUCGGGCCUGGCGCAGAUAG